UACAGAGACUGCAAGCGUUAUUCGGAUUCACUGGGCGUAAAGGGUGCGCAGGCGGCCGUGUGUGUCAGGUGUGAAAUCUCGAGGCUCAACCUCGAAAUGGCGCCUGAAACUACACGGCUAGAGUACUGGAGAGGGUAACGGAAUUCACGGUGUAGCAGUGAAAUGCGUAGAUAUCGUGAGGAACACCAGAGGCGAAGGCG
rnacentral:rRNA from 1 species